GACGAACGCUGGCGGCGUGCUUAACACAUGCAAGUCGAACGGAAAGGCCCUGCUUUUGUGGGGUGCGCGAGUGGCGAACGGGUGAGUAACACGUGAGUAACCUGCCCUUGACUUUGGGAUAACUUCAGGAAACUGGGGCUAAUACUGCAUAGGAGCUCCUGCUGCAUGGUGGGGGUUGGAUAGUUUCGGCGGUUGGGGAUGGACUCGCGGCUUAUCAGCUUGUUGGUGGGGUAGUGGCUUACCAAGGCUUUGACGGGUAGCCGGCCUGAGAGGGUGACCGGCCACACUGGGACUGAGAUACGGCCCAGACUCCUACGGGAGGCAGCAGUGGGGAAUAUUGCACAAUGGGCGGAAGCCUGAUGCAGCAACGCCGCGUGCGGGAUGACGGCCUUCGGGUUGUAAACCGCUUUCGCCAGGGACGAAGCGCGAGUGACGGUAAUGGGUAAAGAAGCACCGGCUAACUACGUG
rnacentral:rRNA from 1 species